rnacentral:lncRNA from 1 species
GGAUAGUAAAUGAAACAUUAUUCAAAAAUUAAACUUUCAUCAUGUCAGACCUAGUUAAGUUUUACUUAAUUAAUAUCCUAAUUCUAAAACCAUUAUAGGUGCAGAUAAUAUUUUAAGUAAAGUUCAUUUUUGUAUUAUAAAAAUAAUGUCUAAUUAUUAUAGAAAAUUAGGAACAUUUAGAAGGGUAGAAAGAUUAAAACACUAGUGCUAUUCAGAGAUAACACAUUAAUUUUCCAAUAGGUUGUCUUUUAUUCUUCAUAUAUAUGUAUAUGUAUAGCAAUUUUAUAUUACUGAUCAUAUCAUACCUAUAAUACAUCUAAUUUAUUUUUAAUAUAACAUAAACAAUUUCCAUGUUAUAAGAUUUUUCUUAAACAUCCUUUUACAUGAUGGCUUUAAUUUUAAUAACAUUCUAUUAUGUAAUGACUUCUUUAAGCAUGAAUUGUUUCCUUUCUAUUAAGUAUGUAAUUAUUUUUAAAAUUAAAAUUUUACUCCAUUUUCCAGCUUUUUUUUUUAUCAGAACGCAGUGUAUGUUAACAUCUUUAUGGUUCUCAAUUGCUUUAGACGCUCAUUGCUUUGAGUCUCCUCUUUUCUUCUUUUUUUUUCCCCCCAUUUUGUUCCUCUUUUUCGGUUCUACCCUCAUUCUGAGCUUGUUUACUCCUACCUGCAGGGGAUCCAAGAAGCAUCAAGCCUUGAUACGGCACAGAUAUACUGGCUGGUGUGAGCCAUACCUGUGGCAGUGGCCCCAUUCCAAAAUCACUCCUCUCAACUUUUUUUUUUUUGGCCUUCAGUCCACUUAAAACCGUGUUCCAUUGAGAACUCAAUUUAAACUAGUUGAUAGGAGAAAACCCUUUGAUGGAACAAGCUUUUUGUGAAAUGUUCCAAGAUUCUCCAAAGAAACAGGGCUCCCAGUACUGUCAUGAUUCUUCCCUAGGCAACCAGCACCCAAACUGCAAGGCUGCUCAAAGUGCAACUUCUGCAGAAAGGCUUGGCCACAAGGUCAGGAUCCCUCACAUGCACCAUCAUCUAUGAUACACCCAGCUGUGCUUUCCUAGGUAUGGUUCUCCAGGCGAUGCUGAAAAAAAUGGGGGGAAAUAACUUGUUUCUGGCAGCUACAGAAUAAUUGUUAGUUCCAGUCUGCAGCCCAGCCUGUCUUCCCAAGCCCUUUGUUGCACAGUCACAUCCCACAGGGGGCUUUGCUUUGUUUGAAGGUCCUUUUGCCCUAGCUUCUCCAUUAGAAAUCUGUUCAUGCAAAAUGUCCUCUGAAGCGUCCUUCUUCCUGCCUCGCUGGUGUGUUCCCGUCAAGGCAGACCAAUGUUUCCUUCUGUCUGCCUGGCUUUUUUUGGGUCCUGUGCUCCCUCUUUCCCUUUUGGGCUGAGUCUGGCUCAUGCCAUUUUGCUGCUCUGGGACAGAGCACUCUCUUGGCUGCCUCAGCACUUUCCUGCAGAUACAGAUUUACUAUGCAAACUAUGCGUUUUGUCUACAGGGAUUGCUUCUCCUCUGGUGAGUCCCUCUUUUCAGAAACCACCAAUAACUAUACCCUCACCAGUUUCCCCUCCCCUUCCCCCAGGCAAGGAGAAUCAUCUCUUUUUUUGAGUAGGUGGAGGGAAGUUUGUAGGCACUGCUUUUGCUGCUGUUAUUUCUCCCAAAUCAUUUGUCUCUGCCUCCAGUCCUGCUCUUCCCCUAAGGACCUAGACUUUUGGAAACCAACUGUAGGAUGGCAGCUAUUUUCUCUGCUUUCCUCAUCCCUCCCUAAGGCACAGAAAAGAUCAGUGGUUUUAAUUGGAGCAGUGGGAAAGAAAGCCAACUGUCUGGAGAAAUAGAUGUUGGUUCAAAUCUCCAAAAUGUUAUCCUCCUAUGUUUGUUUAACAUUGACUUUGUUUCCCUAACUUAUUACCAGUCUCCUUAACCUAUUAAAAAUAAAUGAACACCUUCCAGGUUCUGUGGAACACAUUAUAAACUAUACUACUUUAGAGCAUCGUGCUUCUCAAUGCACUCAUAUUUGUAAUCACCUUUCAGUUUUGUUUUUUUUUUUUUCUUUUUCCUGUAACAGAAACCUCAGAGAUGUUAGCUAUUUCCUUAAUUUCUUCCAAGUGACCUGGGGAAUGUAAAUAACAAAGGGGUCAGAAAUAGAAAAGACUGAAGGUUUUUUAACCAUCAUAACUCAGGAAGUCUUGGCACAACAGCUAAUAAUUAAUGCAAUGUGUAUUGAUUGAGCAUUUCCAUGUACCAGCUGCUGCGCUGGACACAUAUCAUUUACACUAGAGAUUUACCAUAGUUAGUAAAUCUUGGAAAUGAUAGAUCCUAGUCUCACAAGCCAAUUUUUAUUUUUCUCUGAGGACUUCCUGAUUCAGCUUCUCAUUUUCCAUCAUAGAUCAUGAGCAUUUUAUUUUAUUUAUAAAUUAAAUUUUUUUUGUCUUUUUAGGGCUGCACCUUAGGCAUGUGGAGGUUCCCCGGCUAGGGGUCAAAGCCUAGCUGUAGCCAUUGGCCUACACCACAGCCCACAACAACCUAUGAUCCAAGCCAUGUCUGUGACCUGCACCAUAGCUCACAGCAAUGCUGGAUCCUUAACCCACGGAGCAAGGACAGGGAUUGAACCUGCAUCCUUAUGGAUGCUAGUAAGAUUCGUUUCUGCUGAGCCACAGUGGGAAUUCCUGGAUCAUGAGCAUUUUAGAACAGCACUAGCUAAUAUAACUUUUUAUGAUGAUGGAGAUAUUCUGCGUCUACGCUUUCCUGUAUGUUAGCCACCAGUUACAUAUGGCACUUAUAAUGUAUCCAGGGCAACUGAGGGGCUGAAAUGUUUUUAUUUCAUUUUAAUUGAAUUCAAUUUAAGUUUCCCCUAGCUUUAUUGAAUUGAAACGUGUGUGUGUUUAAAGAGUACAAGAUGUUGUUUUAUACACAUAUACAUGGUGAAAGGAUUGCAACAAACAAGCUAAUUAACAUAUCUGUCACUUCACAUAGCUAUCAUUUGUGUGUGUUUGUGUCUCUCUGUGUGGGUGAAUAUUUAAGAUAUACUCUCUUAGCAAAUUUCAAGUUAUGAUACAGUAUUACCUAUGAUAGACAUGGUGCUGACCGUUGCAUCUGGAGAAUUUAUUCAUCCAGCAUAACUGAAACUUUGCAUACUUUGACCAACAUCUCUCCAUUCUCCUUCUGAACCUUAAGGUACCCAUUAUUUUAUUUUAUUCUUGGCUUCUAUAAAUUCUCCUGUUUUAGAUUCUACAUGUCUGUAAAAUCAUGCUUUCACUUUUUCUUUGACCAUUUUACUUCACUUAAGCAUGUUGUCCUCCGCAUUCAUCCAUGUUGUUACAAAUUUAUAGAUGCAAGGAUUUCCUAUUUUUUAAAGACUGAUUAAUAUUCCUUCGCAUAUAUCUAUAUCCCAAUCACAUUUCCUUUAUCCAUUCAUCCAUAGACUGACACUUAUGUUAUUUCCAUAGCUUGGCUAUCGUGAAUAAUGCUGCAAUGAACGUGGGAGUUCAGACAUCUCUUUAAUAUACCAAUUUCAUUUCCUUUGUUUGUAUACCCAGAAGUGGGAUUGUUGGAUCAUAUGGUAACUCUGUUCUCAGUGUUUUUGAAGAAGCUUCAUUCUGUUUUUCAUAAUACCAGUACCAGUUUACAUACCCAAUAACACUAUACAAGUGUUCCCUUGUCUCCACACACUCACCAACACUUGUUUCUUGUCUGUUUGAUAAUAAUCUUUCUAAUAGGUGUGGGGUGGUAUGUUUUUGUGGUCUUGAUUUUCAUGUUCCUGACGAUUUGUGAUGUUGAGUACCUUUCCAUUUAUCUCCUGGCUGUUUUCAUGUCUUUGGGAAAAUGUCUAUUCACGUCAUUAGUCUACUUUUAAUUGAAUUGUCUGUUUUUUUUUUUUUUCUACUGUGUUCUAUGAGUUCUUUAUACAUUUUGGAUUUUAACUCCUUGUCAGAUAUAUGGUUUGCAAAUAUUUUUGGUUCCAUAUUUGGAACUGAAAUAUGGAAUUUCAGGUUGCCUUUUCAUUUUUUUUGUUCUUUGUAUGGCUGUAACUCUGGCAUAUGGAAUUUCCCAAGCCCAGGGUUGAAUUGGAGCUGCAGCUGCAGCCUAUGGCAUGGACACAGCAACACCUGAUCUGAGCUGCAAAUGUGACCUACACUGCAGCUUGAAGCAAUGCUGGGUCCAUAACCUACAGAGCAAGGCCAGGGAUCGAACCUGCAUCAUCACAGAAACAACAUUGGGUCCUUAACUCACUAAGCCACAAUGGGAACUCAGCAUUUCAUUUUGUUGAUGGUUUUCUUUGAUAUACAGAGAUUUUUAGUUUGAUGUAGUCCUACUUGUUUAUUUUUGCUUUUGUUGCCUUUGCUUUUGGUGUCAUAUCCAAAAAAAAUCAUUGCCAACUCUAACAUCAGGAUCUUAACUCUUAUUUUCUCCUAGGAUUUUUAUGGCAUCAGGUUUUAAAAUCAAAUCCAUUUUUAGCUGAUAUUUGUGUUUGGUUUAAGAUAGUGGCCCAGUUCAGUUCUUUUGUAUUUGCCUGCCUAGGUUUCCCAACCCCAUUGUAUAUUCUUAGUACUGUGAUAUAAAUUAAUUGGUUUAUUUCUCUUCCAUUGAUCUAUGUGUCUAUUUUAUUCCAAUAUAAUACUAUUUGACUACUAUAGAUUUAUAAUGUAGUUUAAAGUAAGGAAGUAUAAUGCCUCCAGCUGGAUUCUUUUUUCUCAAGAAUUCUUUAACCCUUUGACAUCUUUUGUGGUUGCAUAUCAAAUUUAGGAUUGUUUAUACUAUUUUUAUGAAAAAUACCAUUGGAAUUUUGAUAGGGAUUUUAUUGAGUCUGUAGAUUUUUAUGAGUAGUAUGGACAGACUUAAAUCUUCCAGUCCAUGAGCUAUGGACUGGAAGUGGACUAUCUUUCCAUUUAUUUGUGUCUUCUUCAAUUUCUUUUAUCAGUGUCUUAUAUUUUUCAGCAUACAGAUCUUUUACUUCCACUGUUAAAUUUAUUCCUAAGUAUUUUUUUUUGAUAGUAUAUGAUCCUUUUAAUAUAUUGUUGAAUUCAGUUUGCUAAUAUUUUGUUGAGGAUUUUUACAUCUAUGUCCAUCAGGAAUAUUGGCCUAUAAUAUUCUUUUUAUGUGUUGUCCUUGUCUGGUUUUGGUAUCAAGGUAAUACUGGCCUUAUAAAGUAAUUUUGGAAGUUUUCCCACCUUUUCUGCUUUUUGAAAGAGUUUGAAAAAGAUUGAUAUUAAUUGUUUGAAUUUUUGGUAGAAUUCACCAGUGAAGCCAUCUGGUCCUAAUUUUUGUUGUUGUUGUUCUUGGGAGGUUUUUUAAAUUACUGAUUCAACCUCCUUAUUUGUAAUUUUUCUUUUCAAAAUUUCUAUUUGUUAAUGACCAAGUCUUGGUAGGUUGUAUGUUUCUAGGUGAACUCUUUCUUAGUUUGCUAGAGCCUUGUGGGUCUCACGGAUGCAAGCCCCAUUGACUUUCAAAGAAAAUAUUUUGGGAGCCCAGGUGGAAGUCUUAAUAGUCAAGGUUUAGUAUGUGGUAUCCAAACCCUUCAUUCCUCAAAGAGAAGCUGGGUGUUGAGAGUUCCUUCUUGGUUGUGUGACACUAUACUUAUGCUGAGUGAGGUUAAUGACAAGAUAGUGUUUCAGCCUCUCCUGUUCUAAUAUGGGUUUUUUUCUCAUUUGCUAGAUAUGUACGAGUUCCUCAGCUAGUUUCUGCAUUUAUUUCAGAGGGAAUUGUUUUUCUUUCUCAAGAUUGCUUUGACUAUUAGGUUACUUGGGCAAUUCUGCAUGAAUUUUAGGAUUACUUUUCUAUUUCUGUGAAAAAAAUCCACUGGGGUUUUAAUAGGGAUUUCAUUGAAGCUAUAGAAAUGUGUCCUCUAAUGUCAGGAAAAAGACAACUAUGCCAUUCCCAUUCAAAAUAACACUGGAAAUCUCAGCCAGAGCAAUUAGACAAGAAAAAUAAAUAAAAGGAAUUUAACUCAGAAAAGAAGUAAAAUAUGGAGUUCCCAUUGUGGCGUAGUGGAAACAAACUAGUAUCCAUGAGGAUGUGGAUUUGAUUCCUGGGCUCUCUCAGUUGGUCGGGGAUCUGGUAUUGCCAUGAGCUGUGGUGUAAGUGGCAGACAUGGCUCAGAUCCCACAUCGCUAUGGCUGUGGUGUAUGUCAGCAGCUCUAGUUCUGAUUCAGCCUCUAGCCUGGGAACUUCCAUAGGGCACAGGUGCUGCCCUAAAAAAGCAAAAAAAAAAGAAAAGAAAAGAAGUAAAAUGUAUCUGCAGAUGACUAUAUAUAUAUAUGUAUAACUCCAUCAAAAAACAGAACUGAUAAGCAAUUCAGUAAAGUCGAAGGAAAUGAAAUCAACAUAUACAAAUCAGUAACAUUUCUAUAUACUCUCUGUCUUGUUUCUAUAUCAAACUAUCUUAAAGAGAAAUUAAAAAAUCCCAUUGAUAAGCAUCAAUAACAAUAAAAUAAUAAAUUUAACCAAGGAGAUGAAAGACCUGUACAUAGAAACUACAAAAUAUGUAUAAUUAAAAUUGAAGAAGACACAAAUACAUGCAAAGGUAUUCCAUAUUCAUGGAUUUGGAAAAUUAAUAUUGUAAAAUGUCCAUCCUACCCAACAUGAUAAAUUUGAGUAUAAAUUUAAGGAAUCACAUGUGGUUGGUGCAUAUAUUUAGGACACACAAUUUAGCAUCUUCUGAGACUUACCAAAGUAACUGAUCAACUUAUCUUUUAUCAAAUUUCUGGUGCUUUCAGAAUUUCUUGGUUUUGAGAAGAGGAAACCAACACUGGAUAACUUAAAACAAGAAAAUAUAUUCUGGAAAGAAACUGUGGGAUAAUUACAUUAAAAAGAGGAGGUGCUUGGUUUCUUAGAUGGUGAAAAGUCAGAAUAAUUCCAUAGGUAUUCCCAUUGUGGCUCAGCAGGUUAAAGACCCGGCAUAGUCUCUGUGAGGAGUGGGUUUGCUUCCUGGCCUUGUUCAGUGGGUUAAGGACCUGGCAUUGCUGCAAACUGUGGUAUAGGUCACAGAUGCAGCUCUGAUUCGACCCCUUGCCUGGGAACUUUCAUAUAUCACAGGUGCAGCCAUAGAAAAAAGAAAAAAAAAAAAGAAUAAUUCUAUGACACUAGAGAGUAGUUCCCUCAGUAGCAACUCAUACCUGUAAUAGUCCACUUCACAUAAACACUCUAUGUUUAUUCUUCUUUUUUUGUCUUGAUUUACUUACUUGAGGCUCAGAGUUGCAGAAUAGCUGCUUCAUUGGCUAAGUGAAUAUUCUUUUCCUUUGUGGUGAGGGGAAAAAUCAAGCUUUCCUCACUUCUUCAAGGAAAGCAAGGCACCUGUAUCCAGCAC